rnacentral:rRNA from 1 species
UACAGAGGUCUCAAGCGUUGUUCGGAUUCAUUGGGCGUAAAGGGUGCGUAGGUGGCGCCGUAAGUCGGGUGUGAAAUUUCGGAGCUUAACUCCGAAACUGCAUUCGAUACUGCGGUGCUUGAGGACUGGAGAGGAGACUGGAAUUCUCGGUGUAGCGGUGAAAUGCGUAGAUAUCGAGAGGAACACCUGCGGCGAAGGCGGGUAGCUGGGCCGACACUGACGCUGAGGCGCGAAAGCCAGGGGAGCGAACGGG